CCUACGGGUGGCAGCAGUGGGGGAUAUUGCACAAUGGGGGGAACCCUGAUGCAGCGACGCCGCGUGAAGGAAGAAGUAUCUCGGUAUGUAAACUUCUAUCAGCAGGGAAGAAAAUGACGGUAACUGACUAAGAAGCCCCGGCUAACUACGUUCCAGCAGCCGCGGGAAUACGUAGGGGGCAAGCGUUAUCCGGAUUUACUGGGUGGAAAGGGAGCGUAGGCGGCAGUGCAAGUCCGAAGUGAAAGCCCGGGGCUCAACUCCGGGACUGCUUUUGAAACUGUACAGCUAGAUUGCAGGAGAGGCAAGUGGAAUUCCUAGUGUAGCGGUGAAAUGCGUAGAUAUUAGGAGGAACACCAGUGGCGAAGGCGGCUUACUGGACUGUAAAUGACGCUGAGGCUCGAAAGCGUGGGGAGCAAACAGGAUUAGAUACCCCAGUAGUC
rnacentral:rRNA from 1 species